UACAGAGGUCUCAAGCGUUGUUUCGGAUUCAUUGGGCGUAAAGGGUGUGUAGGUGGCGCCGUAAGUCGGGUGUGAAAUUUCGGAGCUUAACUCCGAAACUGCAUUCGAUACUGCCGUGCUUGAGGACUGGAGAGGAGACUGGAAUUUACGGUGUAGCGGUGAAAUGCGUAGAUAUCGUAAGGAAGACCAGUGGCGAAGGCGGGUCUCUGGGCCGGGUACUGACGGCUGAGGAGCGAAAGCGGUGGGGAGCGAACAGG
rnacentral:rRNA from 1 species